CACACUGUCUGUUGCUUACAGUCUUCCCAUUGUCUUGAAGAUGAAAUCCAAAAUACUUGCGUGGUGUUCAAGAUCCUGUGUAACAAGGCUCAGCCUUCUCCUGAUGGCUCUCAAUUCUGAGAACAGCUCAGAUCUUUUUGGUCGAGGAUGCGCCCCACCACCACCUCUGGGCUCAACCCUGCUCAGGGGUAAGGGACCUCUCACAUCCAGGCCCCAGGUUGCAGGACGUCUACCUGUUAUUGAAUCUCACUGUCUCGUUUACUUUUUUCUUCCAACUUGUAUGAAAACAAGACCAUAGAGCCAGCCCUGGUGGCCUAGUGGUUAAAGUUCAUCACACUCCACUUCAGCAGCCCAGGUUCGGUUCGCAGGCACAGAACUACACCAUUCAUCUGUCAGUAGUCAUGCUGUGGUGCCAGCUCACAUAGAAGAACCAGAACUACUUACAACUAUAUCCAACUAUGUACUGGGGCUUUGGGGAAGGUAAAGGAAGAAAAAAGGAAGAAGACUGAUAACAGAGAUUACCUUAGGGCAAAACUUCCUCUGCAAAAAAAAAAAAAAGUCUAUAACUGAAUUGUUUGCCAUCUAAAUAUUUGUAAUGUCUAUCUUCAUUCAUCUGAGUCCCAUGAGUCCCAGGAAAGACUCUAUCAGCUUCACCAGUGACUCUCCAGUGCCUGGCACCAUAACUGGACAUGGUAUCUGCUCAAUAAAUAUUGACUGACUGCCCGGCUGAUGAAAGAGAGAAAGAAAAUCUGCAUUUACAGAAGCUCAGCAAAGGGAAGUGAUUUGCCCCAGGUCACAAAGCUCAUGUGAGAGGCACAGUCAGAGUUGGAAGAGAAAUUGGGCUGGCUCUUCUCCUGCCCUCUCCAAGCCUCAUGAUCUGGGACAAGUGUCACCCUCUGGAUUUGGAUUUGGCAUGAGGUGAAGGCAGAGUGUGUGGGGUCUGGCAAGUCUCAGAUCUGGUCUGGAAGAUCCCAAGAGCCCUCUCUCUCUUCAGAAUCAUCCUUCUGACACUGGAGGGUGAGGUUGAGCAGAGUGAGGCCCUGGCAGGGGCUGUUCCCCUUCCUGUAAGGUCACAGAUGAGGAACCCGUGACGUGUCACAUGAAGCCUGGACAUUGUCACACUCCUUGCGUCUGCCCAUCCUGCUAGGUCUGUGGUCUUUAUAAGUCAUCAAUACCACUGGGGACCAUGGAAGGCAGUGCCAGGACACCUACUCUCACUGCCCUUCUCUGCCUCGGACUGUGUCAAGGCCCAUGGAACCGGGUACAGGCAGGAUCCCCCCUUAAACCCUCCAUCUGGGCUGACCCAGGACCCAUGGUCACCAAGGGAAGCCCUGUGACCAUCUGGUGUCAGGGGUCUCUGCAGACUGAUGUCUACCAUCUGUAUAAAGAGAGGGUCUCUAAACCCUUGGAUACACAGGCCCCACAGGACUCCAGCAACAAGACCAGUUUCUCCAUCGAAUUUAUGAGCUCACACACUGCAGGGCUAUAUCAGUGUGCAUACAACACCAGCAGGAAUGACUCAUCAGAGCGCAGUGACGCCCUGCCCCUGGUGGUGACAGGAGUGUACAGCGCACCCUCCCUCUCAGCCCACCCAGGCCCUGUGGUGGCAUCAGGAGAGAACGUGUCCCUCUCCUGUAGCUCAGAGGCCCCACUGGACACUUUCCAUUUGCUGAAGGAGGGAGGAGCUGACCUGCCCCGACACAUGGAAUUGAGGACCUAUCAUGGGAGGUGGCAAGCUGUCUUCCCUGUGGGCCCCGUGAACACCUCCCAUGGGGGGACCUACAGAUGCUAUGGUUCUCCCCGCUCCUACCCCUACGUGUGGUCACACCCUAGUGACCCUCUGCAUCUCGAGGUUACAGGCGUGUACAGGGAGCCCUCCCUCUCUGCCCAGCCUGGCUCCCUGGUGCUCUCUGGACACAGUCUGACCCUCCAGUGUUGCUCAGAGGCCGGCUUUGACAGAUUCGCUCUGACCAAGGACGAGGGGCUUACACCUCCCCAGCGUCUUCACAGGCAGCACAACCCCUACUUCCCUCUGGGCCACGUGAACCACACCCACGGGGGCCAGUACAGAUGCUACAGUGGACACAACCUCUCCUCUGCAUGGUCAGCCCCCAGUGCCCCCCUGGACAUCCUGAUCGCAGGAACGUAUGACAAACCCUCCCUCUCCGCCCAGCCGGGGCCCUCAGUGCCCUCAGGAGAGAACGUGACCCUGCAGUGUCGCUCUGAGAUCUGGCUGGAUACCUUCCAUCUGUCCAAGGAGGGGUCACUUGCUCCUCCCCAGCACCUUCAUCUGCAGGACACGGCUGCACCCUUUCAGGCCAACUUCACCAUCAGUCCUGUGACCUCAGAUCAUGAGGGGACCUACAAGUGCUAUGGUUCAAACAGCACCGCCCCCUACCUGUUGUCACUCCCCAGUGACCCCUUGGAGCUCCUGGUCUCACGUGAGGAGUCCUCGUCGUGCCCCUUGUGUCAUCAUGGAGGCACUGAGGAUGGACUCUCCCCCACGGAGUCAGGCCCACAGGGGGGUCUCGAGUGGUACCUGAAGGCUUUGAUUGGGGUCUCGGCGGCCUUCAUCCUGCUGCUUUCCAUCCUCCUCCUCCUCUUCCUCAUCCGACACCGGCGUCAGGGCAAACACAAGACCUCAGGUGAGUAGCGAACAAGGUGACCUGGGUCACAGGAGGAGGUGGGCUUAGGGCACCAGCCAGAGGGAAACCAAAUAGAUGGGAAGGUCAACUAGUAAAAGAUUUCCCAGAAUCUCAAAUCAGAAAAUCCUAAAGACAACACUUAAUACAGCAUAUAUGUUAACAUUUAAGGUAUUUUUUACCUUUUGAAUCUUAUGAAAUAUUGAAACAUACACACAAGUAUGUGUUACAGUUUCCUUCUUUCCUCUCGAAUCCCACAUGGAAGGCAAGUGGUGAAGACCUCCCAGGGCUGAGACUCUGUCCAUCGUGACCCAGCCCAGAAAUAGGCUGAUCUCCAACUCCCUGCAGGGGCUGCAGACCCAGAGCCCAAGGACAGAGGCCUACAGAUCAGGAAAUUCCUGCCCCCGAAGACCCCAGACCUCACCCCGCCCUCGGCCCCUCUCUGCCCCUAACACUCCUGUCUCCUCCCCCUAGCUCCAGCCCAGCUGCUGAGGCCCAGGAAGAGACCCUCUGUGAGAGGAGAGGAGGGGCCGCCCUGGGGGGUGGGCACAGAGAUUUCAGGAGGCCAUGGGAGGCUGGGCUGGGAGGUCCUGGGGAUUUGGGGUGAGAAGGACUGAAAUCCCACCCUGAGUGACCUCGGGCACAUCUCCUCACCCCUGGACCUCAGUGGCCCAUCUGGGAGCAGAGGGGGGCUGCAGCCCUGAGAGAUCUCAGGGAAUCCUGCCAAGAGACACACCCCCUGUUCUGCCCCAGCAGAUGCUGCCGUGAAGGACACACAGUCCGAGGAGGGGGUGGAGCUGGACCAUCAGGUGAGACUCCUGCUCCUGUCCAGGCCACCAGGGACCUACCUGUUGCCAAACGGCCCCCAGGAUGAAGACCCCCAGGGAGUGACAUAUGCCCAGGUGAACCGCCCAAGGUCAAGACUCAGGCAGGGAGUGGCC